rnacentral:rRNA from 1 species
CGGGUGAGUAACACGUGAGUGACCUGCCUUUUAGACUGGAACAACUUACCGAAAGGUGAGCUAAUGUCAGAUGAGUUAUAUAAGUGCAUGUUUAUAUAGGAAAAGUUGGGGAGACCUGACGCUGAAAGAUGGACUCGCGUCCCAUUAGCUAGUUGGUAGGGGUAAUGGCCUACCAAGGCGACGAUGGGUAGCCGGCCUGAGAGGGUGGCCGGCCACACUGGGACUGAGACACGGCCCAGACUCCUACGGGAGGCAGCAG